AUAUUACUCCCUCCGUCCAGAAAUACUUGUCAUCAAAAUGAAUAAAAGGGUAUGCAUUUAGACGUAUUUUAGUUUUAUAUACAUCCUUUUUUGUCCAUUUUAAUGAUAAGUAUUUUCGGACGGAGGGGGUAUGUA
rfam:Triticum aestivum genome assembly, contig: Triticum_aestivum_CS42_TGACv1_scaffold_514720_6BS